AUUGAACGCUGGCGGCAUGCCUUACACAUGCAAGUCGAACGGCAGCACGGGAGCAAUCCUGGUGGCGAGUGGCGAACGGGUGAGUAAUAUAUCGGAACGUGCCCAGUCGUGGGGGAUAACGCAGCGAAAGCUGUGCUAAUACCGCAUACGAUCUAAGGAUGAAAGCGGGGGAUCGCAAGACCUCGCGCGAUUGGAGCGGCCGAUAUCAGAUUAGCUAGUUGGUGGGGUAAAGGCCCACCAAGGCGACGAUCUGUAGCUGGUCUGAGAGGACGACCAGCCACACUGGAACUGAGACACGGUCCAGACUCCAACGGGAGGCAGCAGUGGGGAAUUUUGGACAAUGGGCGCAAGCCUGAUCCAGCAAUGCCGCGUGCAGGAUGAAGGCCUUCGGGUUGUAAACUGCUUUUGUACGGAACGAAACGGCCCUUUCUAAUACGGGGGGCUAAUGACGGUACCGUAAGAAUAAGCACCGGCUAACUACGUGCCAGCCGCCGCCGUAACAC
rnacentral:rRNA from 1 species